rnacentral:rRNA from 1 species
GCCAGCAGCCAUGUCACCCUGCAACUUUCAAUUAACAGCCCAAUGAAGCAAAGCAGGGCUGAGCCUGGCCAGUACCUGGAUGGGAGACCUGGGAAAAACUAAGGUUGCUGCUGGAA